rnacentral:rRNA from 1 species
UACGUAGGUGGCAAGCGUUGUCCGGAUUUACUGGGCGUAAAGAGCGCGCAGGCGGUCGUUCAAGUCGCGUGUGAAAGCCCCCGGCUCAACUGGGGAGGGUCACGCGAUACUGAUCGACUCGAAGGCAGGAGAGGGUAGUGGAAUUCCCGGUUGUAGUGGUGAAAUGCGUAGAUAUCGGGAGGAACACCAGUGGCGAAGGCGACUACCUGGCCUGUUCUUGACGCUGAGGCGCGAAAGCUAGGGGAGCAAACGGGG